GACGAACGCUGGCGGCGUGCCUAAUACAUGCAAGUCGAACGGUCUUUUCUAUGGAAGCUUGCUUCCACUGAGAAGAUAGUGGCGAACGGGUGAGUAACACGUGGGUAACCUGCCCAUAAGAGGGGGAUAACAUCCGGAAACGGGUGCUAAUACCGCAUAGGUUUCUUGGUCGCAUGAUCGAGAAAGGAAAGACGGCCUUUGUGCUGUCGCUUAUGGAUGGACCCGCGGCGUAUUAGUUAGUUGGUGAGGUAACGGCUCACCAAGACGAUGAUACGUAGCCGACCUGGGAGGGUGAUCGGCCACAUUGGGACUGAGACACGGCCCAAACUCCUACGGGAGGCAGCAGUAGGGAAUCUUCCGCAAUGGACGAAAGUCUGACGGAGCAACGCCGCGUGAGUGAAGAAGGUUUUCGGAUCGUAAAACUCUGUUGUCAGAGAAGAACAAGUCGGAGAGUAACUGCUCCGGCCUUGACGGUAUCUGACCAGAAAGCCACGGCUAACUACGUGCCAGCAGCCGCCGUAAUAC
rnacentral:rRNA from 1 species